GUCAGGUGAGGUCGGGUAAGGUCAGGUGUGGCCGUGUAAGUUCAGGGUGGGUAGACGGACCAAAAUAACCAACUUUUCCUUUCACAGCGAAUAACACCCGUUCAUUUCCCAGUGACUAAAAAACGUUUUCUUCCCUCUGAAUAACUCCUUUUCGCCCUAAAUUCAACUAACUUGAUUUAUUUUUGUUCCAGCAGAAAGCUUGUUUCCAUCCUGUGGUGAAUUGGACGCUCAGAAAGUGAUGGUUGGUAAGAUAUGAGGUAAUGGUAGGGUGUAACCACGGAGGAAGAAUCUAUUUUCUUCCUCCAUGGUGUACCCAAUCCUUCCUUUUGACUCUUGUUGAGCUUACCUUCAACUUACCAAACUAAAAAUCUAAGGUGUCUAAGAGAUGCCACCAUCCGAUAUCUCCUCAUUUCUGGACAUAUCUGAUGGUGCCAUCUCUCAGACACAGUAGAUUUUAUGUUUGGGUGAGUUAUCGGGUAAGCUUAACUAAACAUGAUUUAUAAAAAAUUAAUGCUAACAUUUCUUCAGAACUUUUUUUCUUUUCAGAUACCAGAGGUGACUGCUCUUUACUUCUGGCAUGGCAAGAGGUUUGGUAAUGUAUUAACUUAAGUUGAGAUAAAGUUUAACCGAAAGUUAAUCGCAAAAGGAGAGCUUUUAAGAACUGGGAUGUCUCUCACCCAACCUGGUACGAUUAGAAGCAGCCAUUAAAAGACUUAAUCUCCUAUACAUUGGGCUUCAAAUCUUCAAAGGAGCAACUUCACUUCUUAAAGUCAUAUGUUGGUCGAAAAAUUUGGAUGAAGUUUUAGUAGCUAUAAUGCUGGAUUUCAAACUUUGCAAAAUCUUAAAAUUCAUGAAAAAAAUCUCUCUCAUCUCAAGCCGUUUGGAUACAACAGUUGGAAACAAAAGUCCAACUAGUUGACAGUAGCAACUGACCUGAGUUUAACUAAAAUGGUAAACAUUGGUUAUAACGAUUAAACUUUCUUUCAAUGUCUUUAGAGAACUUCUUCGUUAUCACAUAUACCAGAGGUCUCUUCAUCAAUGCAGUUUUCACUUCAGACAUGGCAAGGAUUUUGAUACCAGAGGCGAUGGACAUUGUCACUUUGGCAUGGGAAGGAGUUUGGUAAUGUAUCGAUUUGAAUUGAGUUUUCUGGUGCAAGAUGGUGAUCUUAGUGAACCUGCCUGACUGAUGUCAUCUAUGUUUAUCGUCAUAGUAGGAAUGACCACUACCAGAUUGGGAGACAGUCUUGAUAAUGACAUCAUGAUGACAUCAGCCUGAGAUGAUGAGAGAAGACUCUGGCUGGAUUGAGGAUCUUAUGGACAAGAGCUAAGGACUGACUGGAGCAAGUCUAAUCAAGAGGAGGAUCAACAUCAUCCGGAUCACAGUGACAACUAGAGCCGUGGGCUGUAUCCAAAUUGGCGGCUACGGUUACGGCUACGACUAUUGCUAUAGCGUUUCUAAGGACGUCCUUUACUUCAAAGCUUGAUGAAGUGAAAAUCUUGUCGUAGCCGUAGCUGUAGCCGCCAGUUCGGACAUGGCUUUGUAGACCUAUAGACUUUUAUCAAGUUGCAACCAUCUAGUUUCUCCCCUGAUCAAUUCAUAUAACUCGCUAGCCAAACAGAGGCUUGGAUGAAAAAUGUCUUGCUCCUCUAUGCAAUGAGAAUGAGACCUUUGAAAAUGAGGUUUGGUUCUCAGAACCCAAUCAUAAAACUCGGACUUUUAUCACGGUUUGACCAUCUAGUUUCCCAUAUACACAAUAUCAUUUUCAAAGGUCUUAUUCUCAUUGCAUAGAGGGGCCAGACUAUUUUCAAUAUGUACAGCCCAGUACGAUUACGCCUACGACUAUUGCUAUUGCGUUUCUAAGAACGUCCUAUACUUCAUAGCUUGAUGAAGUGAAAAUCUAGUCGUAGC